rnacentral:rRNA from 1 species
CCCUUAGAUGUUCUGGGCCGCACGCGCGCUACACUGAUGAAUGCAACGAGCUCUACCCUUGACCGAAAGGCCCGGGUAAACUUGUGAAACUUCAUCGUGAUGGGGAUAGAUUAUUGCAAUUAUUAAUCUUCAACGAGGAAUUCCUAGUAAGCGCGAGUCAUCAGCUCGCGUUGAUUACGUCCCUGCCCUUUGUACUCACCGCCCGUCGCUCCUACCGAUUGAAUGGUCCGGUGAAAUCUUCGGAUUGCUGACCAAGAUCCAGCAAUGGAGCUUGGUUGCGAGAAGUUGAUUAAACCUUAUUAUUUAGAGGAAGGAGAAGUCGUAACA